rnacentral:rRNA from 1 species
AGAGUUUGAUCCUGGCUCAGAUUGAACGCUGGCGGCAUGCCUAACACAUGCAAGUCGAACGGAAACGAUGGGAGCUUGCUCCCAGGCGUCGAGUGGCGGACGGGUGAGUAAUACUUAGGAAUCUACCCAGUAGCGGGGGACAACUCGAGGAAACUCGAGCUAAUACCGCAUACGCCCUACGGGGGAAAGCAGGGGAUCUUCGGACCUUGCACUAUUGGAUGAGCCUAAGUCGGAUUAGCUUGUUGGUGAGGUAAAGGCUCACCAAGGCGACGAUCCGUAGCUGGUCUGAGAGGACGAUCAGCCACACUGGGACUGAGACACGGCCCAGACUCCUACGGGAGGCAGCAGUGGGGAAUAUUGGACAAUGGGGGCAACCCUGAUCCAGCAAUGCCGCGUGUGUGAAGAAGGCCUGCGGGUUGUAAAGCACUUUCAGUAGAGAAGAAAAGCCCACGGCUAAUACCCGUGAGUCUUGACGUUACCUACAGAAGAAGCUCCGGCUAACUCCGUGCCAGCAGCCGCGGUAAUACGGAGGGAGCGAGCGUUAAUCGGAAUUACUGGGCGUAAAGCGCGCGUAGGCGGCUUUGUAAGUCGGAUGUGAAAGCCCUGGGCUCAACCUGGGAAUGGCAUUCGAUACUGCAGAGCUAGAGUAUGGUAGAGGGAAGUGGAAUUUCCGGUGUAGCGGUGAAAUGCGUAGAUAUC